AUUGAACGCUAGCGGGAUGCUUUACACAUGCAAGUCGAACGAGUGGCGGACGGGUGAGUAAUAUAUCGGAACGUGCCCAGUAGCGGGGGAUAACUACUAGAAAGAGUGGCUAAUACCGCAUACGAUUGGAGCGGGCGAUAUGGGAGUAGCUAGUUGGUGGGGUAAAGGCUCACCAAGGCAAAGAUCCGCAGCUGGGUUGGGAGGACGACCAGCCACACUGGGACUGAGACACGGCCCAGACUCCUACGGGAGGCAGCAGUGGGGAAUUUUGGACAAUGGGGGAAACCCUGAUCCAGCCAUCCCGCGUGAAUGAGAAGGCCUUCGGGUUGUAAAGUACUUUUGGCAGAGAAGCGGUAUCUGCAGAAUAAGCACCGGCUAACUACGUGCCAGCAGCCGCGGUAAUUC
rnacentral:rRNA from 1 species